rnacentral:rRNA from 1 species
UUAGGAAUUUUGGGCAAUGGGCGCAAGCCUGACCCAGCAACGCCGCGUGGGUGACGAAGGCCCUCGGGUCGUAAAGCCCUUUUCUGGGGGACGAUGAUGACGGUACCCCAGGAAGAAGCACCGGCUAACUACGUGCCAGCAGCCGCGGUAAUACGUAGGGUGCGAGCGUUGCCCGGAUUUAUUGGGCGUAAAGGGCGCGUAGGCGGUGCCGCGCGUCGCGCGUGAAAUCUCCCGGCUUACCCGGGAGAGGUCGGGCGAUACGGCGGCACUCGAGCGCGGGAGAGGGAAGCGGAAUUCCCGGUGUAGUGGUGGAAUGCGUAGAGAUCGGGAGGAACACCAGUGGCGAAGGCGGCUUCCUGGACCGUGGCUGACGCUGAGGCGCGAAAGCGUGGGGAGCGAUCCG